rnacentral:rRNA from 1 species
UACAGAGACUGCAAGCGUUAUUCGGAUUCACUGGGCGUAAAGGGUGCGCAGGCGGUUGGGUGUGUCAGAUGUGAAAUCCCGAGGCUUAACCUCGGAACUGCGUCUGAAACUACUCGACUAGAGUACUGGAGAGGGAAACGGAAUUCACGGUGUAGCAGUGAAAUGCGUAGAUAUUGGGAAGAACACCGGUGGCGAAGGCGGCGACCUGGUCCGAUACUGACGCUGAGGCGCGAAAGCGUGGGGAGCAAACAGG